AUGUGGCAGCAUCAUGGAACAAUCUUCAAAACCUUCAUCUUAUCAAUCCAUGCGUUGAAGGACUUGGCCGUGUUACGGAAUCCAAGGAAUCCAUGCUCCUUGCUCUUGUUCAUGCUAUCCAAAUGCUCACACUUGACAUUGAACACGGCAUCGAGGAACCACCAAUUGGCAAUCUCUUGGAGCUCAGUCGUGACAAGCUCGUUCUCCUGGAGGAUCUCUGCCCACACCGCCUCCUUCCCGGCCAUGGCGUCGGCGAGCAUGAACUGGCUGAUCUCUGCCCACACCGCCUCCUUCCCGGCCAUGGCGUCGGCGAGCAUGAACUGGCUGUCCUCUCCCUCGUAUCCCGCCCACUCCACCCCGAAUCGGUCAGCCACCAUCGGCCAGAGCUGCUUCCACUUGUAUAAAUCUCCAUUGCUGCAAUUGAAAGCCUCGUUCCUUGCCAACGGAUCGACGGCUGCCCAGAUCUCCUGCUCGGCGACAAGAUCCGCGUCGGAGGCGUCGCUGAAGCCCUCCCAUGCAACCCUGCUCCCAGGCCACCUCAGCAUGGCGCCCUCCUUGCGGCAGAUGGCGGCAUAG
rnacentral:rRNA from 1 species